UGAGUAACCUGCCCUUCGCUCUUGGGAUAACACCGGGAAACCGGUGCUAAUACCGGAUACGACCUACUCGGGCAUCCGAUGUGGGUGGAAAGAUUUAUCGGUGAGGGAUGGACUCGCGGCCUAUCAGCUUGUUGGUGAGGUAAUGGCUCACCAAGGCGACGACGGGUAGCCGGCCUGAGAGGGCGAUCGGCCACACUGGGACUGAGACACGGCCCAGACUCCUACGGGAGGCAG
rnacentral:rRNA from 1 species